ACUCCUAGCAACGAAGUUCUGUCCCACAUCUCCUGCGGUGCAGCAUGUACUUCCUGGGCAGAUGAAGAAAUAACAGUGUGUGCAAAAUCUGUUAGCAAUUAGCACAGCCAACUGGACUUUCUCAGGAGGAUACACAGCAUCCCCUUCCAAGAACAAGGACUCUGCUCUUCUACACCAAAAAGAACCAUCUGAUGUGCUCAAUAUUUAAUAAAUGAACUGAAGCUCUAAUGAGAGAAUGCUGUGAGCUCCAGCGAUAUAUCCCUGCCACCUUCUAUCUGUGUGCAAAUCCACCAGAAGUCAGGGCAUGAAGAAGAGUACUACUCAGCCAAAAGAAGGAUAAACUUGAGAGAUUUAUAGCUAAAUGGAUGCACCUUGAGGCUUUACUCUUAAGUGAAAUAAGUUGGACACACAUGUGUACAUAUCAGAUUAUCUCUCAAGGGUAAGUAAGGACCAAAAUGUAUAAUAGAUAAUGUGAAAAAAGGAAGAAAUUAUUCAAAAGGAAAGGGGAACUGGGAAGCGGGGGGGGAGGGGGAAAAGAAGCAAGGGAAAAGAAAAAAAAAGAAAAGAAAGAGAAAAUGGAAACAAAGCUUUGUAAAUAAGGAGGGGAGGGAAUUGGGAGAAAAAGAGCAAUCAAGAUAUACCAUGUACUGGCGCAUUGAGGCGAUACUCUUAAGUGAAAUAAAUAGGAC
rnacentral:lncRNA from 1 species